GACGAACGCUGGCGGCGUGCUUAACACAUGCAAGUCGAGCGGAAAGGCCCUUUCGGGGGUACUCGAGCGGCGAACGGGUGAGUAACACGUGAGUAACCUGCCCUGGACUUUGGGAUAACCCUCGGAAACGGGGGCUAAUACCGGAUGCGACACUCUCCUGCAUGGGAUGGGUGUGGAAAGUUUUUCGGUCUGGGAUGGGCUCGCGGCCUAUCAGCUUGUUGGUGGGGUGAUGGCCUACCAAGGCGACGACGGGUAGCCGGCCUGAGAGGACGACCAGUCACACUGGAACUGAGACACGGUCCAGACACCUACGGGUGGGCAGCAGUCGAGAAUUUUUCUCAAUGGGGGCANCCCUGAAGGAGCGACGCCGCGUGGAGGAUGAAGGCUUUCGGGUUGU
rnacentral:rRNA from 1 species